rnacentral:lncRNA from 1 species
GGAAUACCAAGAUAUUUAUUAUUUCCUAAAUAGUCAAGGCUACUUCUCAUCCCUUAGAUCUAAUUGGUCAUGCCUCUCUGCCCAGCAGAAUUUUAACACCUAUCCUUUCUCAUGCUAACUUCUAUUUAGAUUUCAGAUUAGAUCUCAAAGUUAAACUCCUUCAGAUGUGGACUCAGCUCAAAUACCAUGGAUACCAGAGAUAUCAUUGACUUAAUUAUUCUUAUGCUGAUUAGUUCUAAAGUUUAGAGAUUUAGGAAGGUACUAAGAGUGGCAAAUGUGUGUCAUCUGCAUCUUAAAAAAUAAGAACCUUUAUCACAUAGAAGUCCCCUAUUCUCCUCAGCAUUCUUCCCCAUCCUCCUUUACAGUCUCCUUAGACAUCUCAUACAUUUAGCAACCCAGACUAGAAUCUAAGCUCUGUCAAAGUGAUUUCUUAUUCCAUUUUACUGAAGCAGUGCCAAGCUUUAUCACUUCUGAGUUCAUGUCAACUGAAAUAGAGGAAAUGGGAACUAGAAACAUUAAACCAUGCGUAAUUAAUGGUUCUUUGUCUUGCUGGUCCUCUGGAACUCUUUUUAUGAGUGUUAUGCAGAUGCCCUAUAGCAGGAAGGGCAGUGCUGUCAUUUGAAUAGGGUUGGUUGUUCUCCACCAAAGUGCA